UCAAUAAAUUAUGAAAUUAUAUUUUUUUUUAUUAAAAUUCGUUAUUUAUAAAUUCAUUACUAAUAAAAUUUAUUAUUUAUAAAAUAUUGAUUUUAGAUUAUUUAUCGUUUUAGUAACUAAUCCAAUGAUUUAAUAUUUUGAAAGAAAUCGGACUCAUAGCUCAGGAAGAACGUUCCAUCAAACGGGACGUAUAAACUACGGUUGAGGUAACAUCUAUUGUUAACACCCAUAAUGCCCUUAUGAACCGUGUUUUAUUAGAUUAUGAAAUAUGUGAAGGAAAUAUGUCCUUCACCCAAGGUGCAUUAAGUAUAAUACCAAGGUUCAGAUUAAUUGCGAACAAUUAAUUCAGUGAGAUCAAGUGAUCAGAACAGCUAGCGGGAGCAAUGCUUCCGAUCAGUGAAUUCUAAUCUAUAUUAGGCUCACAACUUACUCUUGACUAAACCUAUAAGGUCACACCAAUGGCAUGUAACAGAUCACCAAUGGCAUGUAAUAGCUUUUCGGGAAUUAGUUUGGAAAACGUAUUAUACGAUACGACCUGGCGUCGUAAUCGUAUAUCGUAUCGCGAAUAUUCAUAAGUUGGUCGAAACGAAUAAUUGUAUCGUAUGACGGUGAUUCGUCAUAUACGAUACGGUAAAUAAUAGCCGUAAGGCGUUCGUCGCGAAUACGAGCCGCAUCGGAGCUGUCGGCCCGUCGAGCCAAGCGCGCAUGCGCUCAAGGCCCAACGAGCCAGCGAGCUCGCAACGCAGCAAGAAAGCCAGCUCGGGGCGUGGCAGCGUGCAUAACCGCACAUCAACACAGCAGCGAGCACGCAAGGCCCACGGACCAUGCUGCUCGGCUGCGCACGCUGUGGACUUCGGCCUGCAGUGUGUUGGUUGGGUGCGGGUUUGUGCUCGUGUUUGAGUGUGGUCGGUCAAGGCCCUUGGUCUUGGCCGGUUACACUAAUAUAAUAAUUAGGUUAUUAUAUUUUUCCACACACUCCAAUAAUCAGUUUUCCAAGUUAACCUAAACCUUUUCCUAAAUUACGUUCUUCGGUUUUUCUCUCUGCUCAAAAACUGUUCAUCCCGAAAAGCCAAAAUCUUGUGCGUUGUCUAAGCUACAAUAAUCAAGACGGAUCUGAAUGUGUCGGUGAACCAAAUAGAGGAACGAAACGUGGAGUUCUUUGUUCGUGUUCGUUGAUACAAUACUCCGGAAAACACGCUUCGAAUGUGAUUUUACGGUCAUUUGGAUGCUUUCGGAGUGUUAUGAUUUGAUUUGGAUGAUGAACGGAUGGAAUGUUGACUCGAGGAUCAUUGCAUGUCUCUAGGGAUAAUUUUGAGUCAACAACAAGGCUAAACGCUAUUUUUCUAAGCAUCAAAACGGACAAGCGUUCACUCUUUUGAUGAUAUCUCAAGUUCUACAUGUCGGAAUGAGACGAUUUUUAUUGGGCUAGAAAGUAGACUUCAAGAGCUUUCCGACGAUAGGUCACACAUCCUUAUAGGCAUUGUAGAACAAGAGUUAUGACAUAAACAAGAUGGCUCGACUAUCCGAUUCGCCCACGGCCGAAAACGCAGGCCCAACUCUCCUUCUUGGGCGCGAAAACCAACGACCAACCAGCGGGCCCGCUGGUUUCUGCGCCCAAGUGAUUUUCGCGCAUGCUUUCGUCUUCGUGAUUGUCCAAUUAAAUCUUAGCUUAUGUAAUUGUUAUUUUUCCUAUUUUGUUUAGAAUUUAGGAAGCAUAUAAAUACUUCAAGGGAAUGCUUUUAUCCCUUAUGCUUUUAUUUCCUUUAGGUUUCAAUUCUCCUAGAUUUCUAAUUCACGUUCUUUUUCUCUCUUUUCUUUUUUCAUGAACCAUAGUUUUUCUACAAACUCCAUUAAUGUAAUUCUUUGAGGUAUUAUUGAUUUUCCUUUUAUUUUA